CCUACGGGAGGCAGCAGUGGGGGAUAUUGGACAAUGGGGGGAACCCUGAUCCAGCGACGCCGCGUGAGUGAAGAAGUAUCUCGGUAUGUAAAGCUCUAUCAGCAGGGAAGAAGAAAUGACGGUACCUGAGUAAGAAGCCCCGGCUAACUACGUGCCAGCAGCCGCGGUAAUACGUAGGGGGCAAGCGUUAUCCGGAAUUACUGGGUGUAAAGGGAGCGUAGACGGUGAUGUAAGUCUGGAGUGAAAGGCGGGGGCCCAACCCCCGGACUGCUCUGGAAACUAUGUGACUGGAGUGCAGGAGAGGUGAGCGGAAUUCCUAGUGUAGCGGUGAAAUGCGUAGAUAUUAGGAGGAACACCAGUGGCGAAGGCGGCUCACUGGACUGUAACUGACGUUGAGGCUCGAAAGCGUGGGGAGCAAACAGGAUUAGAUACCCCAGUAGUC
rnacentral:rRNA from 1 species